UGGGGAAUUUUGGACAAUGGGCGAAGGCCUGAUCCAGCAAUGCCGCGUGUGUGAAGAAGGCCUUCGGGUUGUAAAGCACUUUUGUCCGGAAAGAAAUCCUUGGCUCUAAUACAGUCGGGGGAUGACGGUACCGGAAGAAUAAGCACCGGCUAACUACGUGCCAGCAGCCGCGGUAAUACGUAGGGUGCAAGCGUUAAUCGGAAUUACUGGGCGUAAAGCGUGCGCAGGCGGUUUGCUAAGACCGAUGUGAAAUCCCCGGGCUCAACCUGGGAACUGCAUUGGUGACUGGCAGGCUAGAGUAUGGCAGAGGGGGGUAGAAUUCCACGUGUAGCAGUGAAAUGCGUAGAGAUGUGGAGGAAUACCGAUGGCGAAGGCAGCCCCCUGGGCCAAUACUGACGCUCAUGCACGAAAGCGUGGGGAGCAAACAGGAUUAGAUACCCUGGUAGUCCACGCCCUAAACGAUGUCAACUAGUUGUUGGGGGAUUCAUUUCCUUAGUAACGUAGCUAACGCGUGAAGUUGACCGCCUGGGGAGUACGGUCGCAAGAUUAAAACUCAAAUGAAUUGACGGGGUCAUAGCUGUUUCCU
rnacentral:rRNA from 1 species